AACGAACGCUGGCUGCAGGCUUAACACAUGCAAGUCGAGCGCCCCGCAAGGGGAGCGGCCGACGGGUGAGUAACGCGUGGGAACGUACCUUUUGGUUCGGAACAACUCCGGGAAACUGGAGCUAAUACCGGAUAAGCCCUAACGGGGAAAGAUUUAUCGCCGAAAGAUCGGCCCGCGUCUGAUUAGCUAGUUGGUGAGGUAACGGCUCACCAAGGCGACGAUCAGUAGCUGGUCUGAGAGGAUGAUCAGCCACACUGGGACUGAGACACGGCCCAGACUCCUACGGGAGGCAGCAGUGGGGAAUAUUGGACAAUGGGCGCAAGCCUGAUCCAGCCAUGCCGCGUGAGUGAUGAAGGCCUUAGGGUUGUAAAGCUCUUUUGUCCGGGAAGAUAAUGACUGUACCGGAAGAAUAAGCCCCGGCUAACUUCGUG
rnacentral:rRNA from 1 species